AUUGAACGCUGGCGGAAUGCUUUACACAUGCAAGUCGAACGGCAGCACGGACUUCGGUCUGGUGGCGAGUGGCGAACGGGUGAGUAAUGUAUCGGAACGUGCCCAGUCGUGGGGGAUAACGUAGUGAAAAUUACGCUAAUACCGCAUACGAUCUAUGGAUGAAAGCGGGGGAUCGCAAGACCUCGCGCGCUUCGCGCGGCCGAUAUCAGAUUAGGUAGUUGGUGGGGUAAGGGCCCACCAAGCCAACGAUCUGUAGCUGGUCUGAGAGGACGACCAGCCACACUGGAACUGAGACACGGUCCAGACUCCUACGGGAGGCAGCAGUGGGGAAUUUUGGACAAUGGGCGAAAGCCUGAUCCAGCCAUUCCGCGUGCAGGAUGAAGGCCCUCGGGUUGUAAACUGCUUUUGUACAGAACGAAAAGGUUUCUACUAAUACUAGGAGCUCAUGACGGUACUGUAAGAAUAAGCACCGGCUAACUAUGUGCCAGCCGCCGCCGUAA
rnacentral:rRNA from 1 species